rnacentral:rRNA from 1 species
CGUGGAGCGAUUUGUCUGGUUUAUUCCGAUAACGAGCGAGACUCUGGCCUACUAAAUAGUUGACGCAUUGCUAUUGUGCGCACAACUUCUUAGAGGGAUUUUCGGUGUUCAGCCGCACGAAAUUGAGCAAUAACAGGUCUGUGAUGCCCUUAGAUGUCCGGGGCUGCACGCGCGCUACACUGGCAAAAUCAGCGUGCUUGUCCUUCCCCGAAAGGGGUUGGUAAACCCGUGAAAAUUUGCCGUGAUUGGGAUCGGACAUUGCAAUUAUUGUCCGUGAACGAGGAAUUCCUUGUAGGGGCGAGUCAUCAACUCGCUCUGAAUACGUCCCUGCCCUUUGUAC